rnacentral:rRNA from 1 species
AACGCGUGAGUAAUCUGCCUUCAGGAGGGGGAUAACGGCUGGAAACGGUCGCUAAUACCGCAUGAUGUCAGAGGAUAGCAUUUUUUCUGACCAAAGAUUUAUCGCCUGAAGAUGAGCUCGCGUCUGAUUAGCUAGUUGGUAGGGUAAAGGCCUACCAAGGCGACGAUCAGUAGCCGGACUGAGAGGUUGAACGGCCACAUUGGCACUGAGACACGGCCCAG